rnacentral:miRNA from 1 species
GAGCCAGCCGUUGGGGUAG